GAGGAUAUAGCUCAGUGGUAGAGUGUGUGCUUAGCAUGCACGAGGUCCUGGGUUCAAUCCCCAGUACCUCU
rnacentral:tRNA from 1 species